UCUCCAUUGAGAGCAAAAGAGAAGUCAUCAUCUUUAUUAUAACAGGGAGGUAAGUUCACCUCCUCGGUCUUACGGUCACCGCCCUCGAGUGAUGACAACAAGCCCUCGGUGAUGCAGAAGCCAUCGGAUCCCGGCGCCGUCUUCUGCGGCGGGGGAAUUAGUUGAAGCUUUUUAGACAAACAGAUACUGAUUAUCUUAACGAAGAAAAAACUCACCAAAAAGGUGCUGGCUCAACUGCAACAACAGCUGUUUUGGUAGGGGAUCAGCUUCUUGUCGCAAAUGUUGGAGACUCCAGAGUGGUAGCAUUCAGAGCUGGCCUAGCAAUUCCAUUGUCUAUUGAUCAUAAACCAGAAAGGUCUGACGAGCGCGAAUGAAUUGAAAGUGCAGG